GACGAACGCUGGCGGCGUGCUUAACACAUGCAAGUCGAACGGAAAGGCCCUGCUUUUGUGGGGUGCUCGAGUGGCGAACGGGUGAGUAACACGUGAGUAACCUGCCCUUGACUUUGGGAUAACUUCAGGAAACUGGGGCUAAUACCGGAUAGGAGCUCCUGCUGCAUGGUGGGGGUUGGAAAGUUUCGGCGGUUGGGGAUGGACUCGCGGCUUAUCAGCUUGUUGGUGGGGUAGUGGCUUACCAAGGCUUUGACGGGUAGCCGGCCUGAGAGGGUGACCGGCCACAUUGGGACUGGGGUACGGCCCAGACUCCUACGGGAGGCAGCAGUGGGGAAUAUUGCACAAUGGGCGGAAGCCUGAUGCAGCAACGCCGCGUGCGGGAUGACGGCCUUCGGGUUGUAAACCGCUUUCGCCUGUGACGAAGCGUGAGUGACGGUAAUGGGUACAGAAGCACCGGCUAACUACGUG
rnacentral:rRNA from 1 species